rnacentral:rRNA from 1 species
GACGAACGCUGGCGGCGUGCUUAACACAUGCAAGUCGAACGGAAAGGCCCUGCUUUUGUGGGGUGCUCGAGUGGCGAACGGGUGAGUAACACGUGAGUAACCUGCCCUUGACUUUGGGAUAACUUCAGGAAACUGGGGUUACUACCGGAUAGGCGUGCCUGCUGCAUGGUGGGGGUAGGAAAGUGUCGGCGGUUGGGGAUGGACUGCGGGCUUAUCAGCUUGUGGGUGGGGGGGUGGCUUCCCAAGGCUUUGGCGGUUGGCCGGCUUGGGGGGGGGACCGGCCACAUUGGGAUUGGGAUAGGGCCAGGAUCCCAAGGGGGGGAAGCGGGGGGGAAUAUGGAAAAAGGGGCGGAAGCCGGAGGAAGCAACGCGGCGGGCGGGAUGACGGCCUUCGGGUGGUAACCCCCUUUCGCAGGGGACGAGGCUUGAGUGACGGUAACGGGUAAAGAAGCACCGGCUAACUACGUG